CUGUUAGACCUUUGACUCCAUUAUCAGACAGUUAAUCAGAUAAGAGAGAUCGGUUCCCAAUUUAGCCUAACAUUAUGUUUACAUCUGUGCUAGUAAUACACGCAUAUACAGUGCAGUGUUGUAAGUCACAGUAUACGAAUGUUUAGCUAAUGUGGGGUAACUAGUAGGCACCAGCUGUCAGUGUUCAGCAAGUUAACAUUCAGCAAUUUGAAAUCCAUUAACUCAGUUAGAUUUGUGUACUUGAACUCAAAACGAAUGAUUGUUAUUAUCAACCAGUUAACGUUACUCAAAAGAUUACCACAAUUUGCUGCUAGCUAAGUUACUUACUGCAGAGUAGGGCUAGCCAUGAUCUAACUAGUAACUUAAGCUGGUAGUUGAUUUUAAGGUACAGUUAUGAUAAUGGGGAUUUGUAAUUAAGAUUGAGAUUGGACAAAGAUGUGGGUAAUUGGAUGCUUAGAUGUAACCACAGACGGUCUUAUUUUUGCAUAGGGUCAAUUAAACAUGAAAAGAAAGGGAGCGCUAUCAGAUUUCUUUUUAAAGAAGCACAACAGGCAGAUCAGGUGCAAACAGACCCCAGCCCUUGCAUCACCACCGGACCCCAGAGCAGCUCCCCACCUGAGGCUAGUCAGAGUCAGUGUGGUCAGACUUCACAAGGACCCAGUCUACCACCACCAGGCCAGAGCAUCUACCAGGCAGGAUGACACAGAGACCUCUGGCUCUGAGCAAGACAGUGAGCCAGAGCUGCCAGGAGAUGUCAUCGAGCCCCUCCCAACUCCAUCAAGCACCAGAUAUGCUGUUCCAAAAGGACCCAAUGGUAGGCCAGUCCUAUACUUUAAACUACAAACUUUAGUUAGCA
rnacentral:lncRNA from 1 species